UCUCUCUCUCUGCUGUUUUCUAGCUCCAGCAGAGCACCGUCAUGUCUGUGUUGUACUCUGCAGCCUCUGGCCAUGAGGUGAGUUCUCUCUCUCUGCUGUUUUCUAGCUCCAGCAGAGCACCGUCAUGUCUGUGUUGUACUCUGCAGCCUCUGGCCAUGAGGUUACACGGCGGAGAAUGUGUUGGGGAGGGAGGUGGGCCCCAUCAGCGCUUACGUCCGUGUGGUCACCAGGAAACCUGCCCUGUGCAUCGGCCUGGAAGACAUCUGCCUCUGAGGCUGUCAAAGUGGGGAGUGGGACCCCAUGAAAUAAAUCUGAAAGACUGAGGCCUCCUCAGCCCAGCCCCACAAGCUCUCUCUGUACAGAAUGUGAAUAAUUGGUGAAAAAAUAGAUCUGUUUGUGUGUUACUGAUGACGCGUUAGGACCCAGGAGCUGACAACCCAAGGUUAGAACUGACAGACCAGAGAGGAGUAACAUAUGUCAAACUUGGCCCACGUGGGUCCAACUGGUGACUGUAAAAUAUGCCUGUUUGCUGUAAAUAGCUACACGUUUCUCUGUGUUUCCUUGAAUAUCUACCUCCUAAUAUAUCUCUGAAGAUGAAUGGUGCUUAUACUCAGUCAAUAAACCUUGUAUUAUGCUA